rnacentral:lncRNA from 1 species
CACACACGCACACACACACACACACACACACACACACGCACACACGCACACACGCACACACGCACACAGACAGACAGCUCACCGCCACUGAAAGUGUAAGCCCAGGUAACCUCAGCCAACGCCUAAGAGUAGGUGAAUCUGAGGUGAAGCUGAGGUAAAGCUGGAUGAUGACAUCUUCCUAUUCUUCCAGGUACCCUCUGGCUGGCAUGGAGAGAAAAAGGUCAGAGGAAGCAUCACUACAUAACACUAUGCUAGUAACACCAAUGCUAACGCACAAAUUCAAUGUUUUCAUUAGGUCAAUGCAAUGCCUCAACAAAAUGCCACCCAUUAAAGGUACAGAAUGUAUGACACCCAUUAAAGGUACAGAGUGUAUGCCCCCCAUUAAAGGUAGAUCAUUUAUGCCACCUAUUAAAGGUACAGAGUGUAUGCCACCCAUUAAAGGUACAGAAUGUAUGCCACCCAUUAAAGGUACAGAGUGUAUGCCACCCAUUAAAGGUGCAGAGUGUAUGCCCCCCAUUAAAGGUAGAUAAUUUAUGCCACCCAUUAAAGGUACAGAAUGUAUGCCACCCAUUAAAGGUACAGAAUGUAUGCCCCUCAUUAAAGGUGCAGAGUGUAUGCCACCCAUUAAAGGUAGAUCAUUUAUGCCACCCUUAAAGGUACAGAAUGUAUGCCCCCCCAUUAAAGGUACAGAAUGUAUGCCCCCCAUUAAAGGUACAGAGUGUAUGCCCCCCAUUAAAGGUACAGAGUGUAUGCUCCCCAUUAAAGGUACACAGUGUAUGCCCCCCAUUAAAGGUACAGAAUGUAUGCCCCCCAUUAAAGGUAGAUCAUUUAUGCCACCCAUUAAAGGUAUGCUACAGAGUGUAGUGUAAUGCCUCUGAGUAAAGAUGUGGGGGAAUCCUAUGGUUAAACACUGAGUUCGCCUCCAGAUUAAGCAUUAGAGUCAGC